ensembl:lncRNA
CAAACCAGACGCCGCCUUAAGAAAGGCUUGGCCCGGGGCUCUCGGUGGCCACACUUCCCGAUGGAGAAACUCGGGCUCAGAGAGGGAGGUCAUUCAUCAAGGUCAUUCCGAGAGCUGGUGGCUGAGCAGGGGGUCUGAGCCCAGGCGGGGAAACCAAGGCUGAUGGAAACCAGCUCAAAGGCAGCGGGCGUCAGUGGCCUGGCCAGGACCUGGAUCCUGCUCCACCUGCCUCUCUGUGAGCUUCUUCAGAAACAGGCCUGCCAGCCUUCUCCACUCAGAGCCGGGACCGGGCCCCAUCUUCAUCCGUCCACUCACUGGGGCCAGGCGCCCGGGCUGUAGUCUCCUGCAGACAAAUCUCACAACAGACCCUGCCAGUCUGACGGUGGAGGCUACCAGGAACCUGGGCAGCAAGGUGCGGG